rnacentral:rRNA from 1 species
UAGGCUUGCGUCUGAUUAGCUAGUUGGUGUGGUAAUGGCACACCAAGGCUACGAUCAGUAACUAGGUCUGAGAGGAUGAGUCAGUCACACUGGAACUGAGACACGGUCCAGACUCCUACGGGAGGCAGCAGUGAGGAAUAUUGGGCAAUGCACGAAAGUGUGACCCAGCAACGCCGCGUGGAGGAUGAAGGUAUUCUAUAUCGUAAACUCCUGUGAGAGCAGACGAAAGACAGAUUAUUAAUUUGGAUGACUGUAUGCUCAGAGGAAGCCCCGGCUAACUACGUG